UAUUAAAUGACUGUUUGAACUGAAAUGUAUGUUAUGUGCCUUUUAACUAAUGUUGAAAACGUAAGAACAUUUGUUUCAUCAUCUGUGCCUGUAUUAGGGAAGAGUGGGUUGGAGUUUUGCAGAGGGAAUGCUUCUUAUAAAAUACAGAAAGACAUAUAUUGGGUGGAGGUGUACUUAGAAUGUAGGAUGAUCCAGGAUGAAAUCAUAGUUUUAGUCUCCACAACAUAUUCUUCUCUCUAGUUACCAUUUCCAUUUCAGGAAAUUAUCUGCAGUUAAACCACGCAGCCUUCAGCCUCACUGUUGUGUGAAUAAGAGCUGAAUACUCAUUCAUAAAUUAUCGUUUUCUACCUCCAAAUCUCUUCCUGUCUCUGCCAAGACUUCCUCAUCUGCUGUUGAAAUGCUUCUCUGCAUUUCUGUAAUCUCUCAUCUUUGCAAGAUAUUGACUCUUUAUUUUAAACUCCAAUCUUGUAUAACUGCUUAAGAUCUUGGCCACCAAUUAUGCUUUUGCUUGCAUCUGCUGUGACAAGAGUAAUUUUUAAAAAUUGCUCAUUCUUGAUUUGAAGUACCUUUACGAGCCUAUCCCUUGCUUUUCUGAAGUUUUUUUCAGCACUUUGCACAUCAGAUUCUCACAUCUACCUGAUGUUAAUUAUGUCUACAUUAGUGAUACUUCUCGCCAUUUUGUCCUGAAGCAUUGGCAUUCUCUGCCUUAAGUUCUUCACAUUUCCAUAUCUUUGACACAUAUCUUUGCCUGAAACACAACUCUUAUAUUAAACCUUUGUCAUUUUUCUAUGCGAUCCAUGUCGAUUUUCUUUACUUUGUAGUUCUCCUGUUACAGUAAACACUUUAAGAUGGUUCAUAGUGAAGGCACAAUGUAAAUCCAAGGAUCAAAAUAUUUGGGAGUGGGGUCACCUGCCCCUUUAGUUUCUCCAUCCAACUGUCAAAAACUACAAACUCUGUUGAAAGGAGGAUUAGAAUAAAAUCAAAUAAAAUUAACAUUAGAAAUAAAAUAUUUAUUCCCAUGUGCCUUAACCUUUAGGACCCGCAGAAUCUUUUCAAAUACCUUACUAAAAUCUAUAGAGGCAGUAUCUACUUCCCUGUCUUUGAAAAUCUCCUUUGUUACUUCUGCAAAGAACACAGAUUAAUGAGACAAGGUUCCCUCCCCCCACCCCUCACAAAGCCAUGCUUACUAUGCCUAAUCAGUCCCUGCCUUUCCCUGUAAUGAAUACACACAAGAAGAACCUCAGCCACAUCCCUUUCAACACACAUUCUAUUGAUUUCCAUCUGUUAUCCAUUACUGUAACUUAAGGGUUUGGUAAAAUUUUCUGUGAAGUAUUUAAAACAGAAAUUCUUCUGCAACUACAGACAACAGCAAGAAAAUUUGUCCUUCCCUGUGUCCCCCCUCCCCAUCCCCUUCUCCAAUUGUGUGAGUUACAUCGUACACAGUUUGAAUCACGUGAAAAGAGAAGGAUGCCAUAACUGAGAAUAAGCACACACCUUACUGCAAUAAAUGCCUAAAAUAAAACUGCCAACAUUUGAAAAGAGAAUUAAAAGAAGGAUGGUAAGCGAAUCUGGUGUACUGAUUUAAAAGAAUCUCAGUAUAUUUACUUUCACAUCGAAGCUACCUGCUUACUGCCUCGGUGUAAGGAGCUGUCACCAGAAUCACAUGACUUGCUGGAAAAUGAAAGCAGAUUUUGGUUUCUUUAGUUCACAUCCAUACACGGAGGAAUAGCUUCUUGUUUGGGGACAAUGAAAGUCAAAGCAGCUUUAAACACAAAACAGUGAAUUUCUCCAACCAGUAAUUUUUGUGGAAAGAAUCUCUGUUGGCCAUUGACAAACAUAGUUGGGAAAGGAGAACUACUAACACACCCUAUCAUCAGCUCAUGAAUGUGUUAUGCCAGUAUUGUGAACAUUCAUGAGCAGAAAACAUAACUACAACAUAGAUACCUGCCUGUUAUUUCAGAUAUUCAGAAGUGCUAUCUGUUACAAUUCUUACUAACAGUAAUAUUUUGUUUAAUUGCAAAAAAAUGGUUAUAUCUAUUCUUUAAUGGAUGCAAACUAAUGAGAAUGUCAGGAAUGUGAGGCUCCACCUAGAAAACAUUCCACAGCAAGAAUGAAUCCGAUAGUAAUUACAUUAUUCACACCACGAACUACCUUGACAGUUUCAUUGAAAUCCAAUUAAAUUAUUGUUAGUCAUGCAGUGAGCAAAAUCAAAACUUACUGUCUAUUUCAAUAAUUUAGAAAACAAUAUUUUCAUACACAAAAUAAAAAAUAUUUUUAUUUAUGUAUAUUUGUGAAUCACUGCAGGAAAAUUCAGGGUUUUUUUUACACAGCACUUACAUGUUUGUCUUUGUACAAAGUUAAGUCAUCUUGCUCAAUGCUUCGACCAUGAAUGUUGCUUCCCAGCUAUCCAUGUGAUAUGCAAGCGAGGACAGUACAUUAUAGCGAGCAAGCUGUUGCUCAUGUAGCAGGCUCCCUCUCUUCAUAGCUGAUGAAUCCAAAGGAGUGGCGGAGACUGAUAUAGUUUGGCACCAUCGGCAUUGUCAGUCACCGUUGAGCGCAAUGUAGGACUGCCUUAGGGACUCCAGCUCUGGAUUUUUCUUCAGGGUUUACUCUUGAUGUCUUCCCCAUGAUCGAGUAUAGCCACAAGGCAGUGGAAGUUUGAGAUCAAAGUUUUUCUUCUCCUAGGUGAGCUGCCAACCAUGGCUGAUGAGCCCCAUCUGCCCAAAGUGGCUGGUUUUAAGGCACCAGUACACAGCCUUUGCCCCUAUUCCUGUCAGUAGAAAUGGUUCUACUGGGCUUAGUAGUGAAGCAAUACAUGAAGGCCAGGAGCUGGACUUGGUUGUCAGAGGCUAUUUGAGACAUACACCAUAGGGGUCAUUCAAUAGGUAUUGAGAGUUUAACUCCACUCCCAUCCUGGGAUUUAACAACCAUAAGGAACCAUCGUUUUCAAGAAUAAGCGUCAUGAAUAAGGGUUCAUUUUUAUUGUACAUUUAAUGAAGUAUUCUGAAUUGUUUUGUAGCCUUGACAUCAUGUUACAUAAAAUGAUAACUAAGCAGGUAAGAAUGGCUCAGUGAAUGAGAAGACAAGAUUGAACUAAGUUGAAAAGACAUUUGGAGGGAUUUCUGAAGCUGAGGGCUUGGCCAACUCAAGUAAUGAAAACUAACAGUGAACAAUAUUUACCAGCCUUGUGCAGCAGGCCAAAAGUCUGAAGAGAGCAAAGAUCUCAACGUGCAUGAGAACUGGAGGAGUUUAUGGUUUAAAAGGAAGAGAAGGAUUUUAAAAUUUGUUGUAUUAUUGGACAUCAAUGGUGGAACCUUGCUGUCAGAAAACAAUGAGAUCUUCAUAUUGUCAGAACUUACUACUGACACUUUAUGGUACACCUUUAAUUCAGUGCAAGUUCCCUGAAGUGAGAUCAGAAAUAAUUUCAGUCAGGUAGCUGGCCAUAACCUGUAUAGCUUUUAUUUUCAGUUCUACGAAUGGUGAGUUAGGGUAGUGUCUUCAACCAGACUGUGCAUUGUCAAUUUUGUGAUUGAUAGGGAGGAGCACAUUAGGAAUUCAAUAACCUCAUUCCACAAUCCAUUUAUUUGAAUUAUGCCGUGAAAAACCAAAUGUAGGGACUCACUCAAAUAUUUUUGCACAGGGAAGCUGGGGAGAGCAAGAGUGUGAAUGUUUAAAAAAAAUUACUGAGUUGUGAAGGCGUCAAUCUGUUUGUUAGCAACCACAGGUAUGCCGGUGAUUUAUGAUGGCAACUGAGCUACUUAAGGAAGUAUUAGGACAGAAGACUUAAAAACUUAGAGAAAAGGAAUAACUUAGAGGAAGACUGCAAGAUUUAAGGAGGGAAUUUUAAAUAUCUAAAAGAGCAUCUGUUAGUGUAGGGAUAAAGGAAGCUGUGAAUGCUUAAAGAGGCCAAAACUAGAGGAACUCAAAGUUUUCAGGAAGUUACAGGGUUUGAGGUAAGGAAGAACACUUCACUUGCAAGAAAGAGUAUUUUAAAUUUGGGGCUGUUCACUCAGUUUCUCACUGCAUGACUCAAAAACUUGUUCUGUAAAAAAUGUUUCUAAGAAGGUGCAUAUUAAAACUUAUUUUAGUAUUUUUGCCAAUUGUGUAUUAUUAGUCCCAAUAUUUCUGUAAAAGAGAAAUGAAACAAUGCCAAAGCACCUGCUAGAAGAAUACAACUUGGAUAAUAUACUGGAUGGAGCAAUACAGCUUCCAAACAACUGAGACCAGUUGGUUGUCACCAGCUUCGUGAAGGAGAGGUGGAAAUCAGUUUGAUCUUCUAGGCUAGUAGAAAAAUGGGCAUCACUCUUGAACAAUGCAAUGACCACGUGGCUGGAAUCUGAUAUCUGGUUCAGCAGACAACACCCUGGGUCAAGUUAUGUGGAAGUUGCAGGACCAUCCUUUAUUAGCAACAUUUCCACCAUAAUUACUCAAUACAAAGAACCAUUCAUAAUUUCUGUGGGCUGCUGAUCAAGGCACACCUUUUGACCUGAGGCUUGGCUGAAUCACUUAAGGCACUGUACAGUAUCUCCCAGAUCCUACAGUUUUCACAAAUGGGAGAUUGGCUAACUCUACAGUUACAUAACAUUGAGAAGUUGGACAUAAAGGAUAAGCACUGUAGGCUUCAAAGGCACGUAAGGAGGAGUUCUUGAGGAAAAAGGGCUCCAAGAGCUACCAGCUCCAAGUACACCUCACUGGCCAUUUAUUAGGUUCCUCCUAAACCUAAUAAAAUGUCCACUGAGUAUAUGUUCAUGGUCUUCUGCUGCCCAUUUACUUCAAAGUUCAGUAUGUUGUGUGUCAGAGAUGUUCUUCUGCACACCACUGUUGUAAUGCAUGCUUCUUUGAGCUACUUUCACCUCUGUGUCAGCUUGAACUAGUCUGGGCAUACUCCUCUGACCUCUCUUGUGAACAGCGUUUUUUUCACCUGCAAAAGUGCUACUCAAUAACUUCCACCCUGCCCUAAAAUUCAUUGGGACUCCUCCCUCCCUUUUCUUGACCUCUCUGUCUCCUGCUCUGGAGAGAAGCUAUCAACCAACAUCUUUUAUUAACCUACUGAUUCCCAUAGUUACCUCGACUAUACCUCUUCCCACCCUACCUCCUGUAAAAAUGCUUUUCCCUUUCUCAGUUUCUUCACCUCCGCCCCAUCUUUUCUCAGGAUUCAGCUUUCCAUUCCAGAACAUCAGAGAUGUCCUCCUUCUUUAAAGAAUGGGGUUUCCCUCUGUCUACUAUUGGUGUUACCCUCCCCCACAUCUCCUCCAUUUCCCAUACAUCUGUGCUCACCCCAUCUUCCCACCAUUGUAAUGGUGAGGGUCUUUACCUAUUGUCCCAUCAGCCUCCACAUCCAACACAUUAUCCUCUGACACUUCCACCAUCUCUAAAAGGACCCUACCACUAAACAUAUCUUUACCUCCCUCCCCACCCCCCACUUUCCACAGGGAUUGCUCCCUCUGCAAAUCCCAUGUCCAUUUGUCCCUCCCCACUAAUCUCCCUUCAGGCAGUGACCCCUGCAAGUGGCCUAAGUGCUACACCUGUCCAUAUACCUCCACCCUCACCUCCAUUCAGAGCCCCAAACAUUCCUUCUGGUGAGGCAACACUUCACCUGCGAAUCUUCUGGGGUUGCCUCUUGUGUCCGGUGCUUCCAGUGCGGCCUCUUCUACAUUUGUGAGACCUGUCACAAAUUAUGGGACCACGUCAUCAAGCACCUAUGUACCAUUUGCCACAAGAGGGACUUCCCGGUGGCCAAAUAUUUUAAUUCCUAUUCCCAUUCCCGUUCUGACAUGUCAAGAUGAGGCCACUCUAAGGGUGGAGGAGAAACACCUUAUAUUCUGUCUAGGUGCCCUCCAACCUGAUGGUGUGAAUAUUGAUUUCUCCUUCCAGUGAACAAAAUUUCCUCCCUCUUUUCCCCACUCUGAUCUUCUACUCCUUCACACCUGCUAUUACUUUCCCGAGUCCCCUCCUCUUUUCCUUUUCUCCUAUUGCUCACUCACCUCUCCUAUCAAAUUCUUUCUUCUCCAGCCCUUAAUCUUUCCUGUCCAGCUGGUUUCACCUAUCACCUUCCAGCCAGCCUCUUCCCUUCCCCCCACUGUUUAAGUCAGGCAUUUCCCCCCUUCCCUCUCAGUCCUGAAGAAGGAUCUCUGCCCGAAACAUUGACUGUUACUCUUUUCCAUCUAUGCUGCCUGACCUGCUGAUUUCCUCCAGCAUCAUGUGUGUGUGUUGCUAUGGAUUUCCAGCAUCUGCAGAUUUUUUCAUGUCUGUGAGAGCUUUGGUAUCCUUGGAGAAAACUACCUUCUGAUGUCCCAGAUCAUUUCAGGUGUAUAUAUGGUACAAGUUUGAUGGUGGUUCCUCUUAAAGUUAUGUCUUAAUUCAUAAUUGUAUUUUCCAACAAAAGGCUUCAAUCUGAUUUAAUCUGCUCAAUAGAUGUCAACGCAGAUCACGACAUUAAAAUUUAACUUAUUCAACACAUUGUCAUGAAGAGCCGAUCUCAAUUUUUCGAUUUCUCCAAACACAACCACAUCCUGUUUCAAAGGUAUCAGUCAUAAAAUCUUCAAUCAUUUCAAUGAACUCUCUUGUGAGGUGCUUAUAACACCCACACUUCAGACCGCAGUACUGCGACAGCUACCACAAUUAAAUGCAGCUUUAUAAUUUGGUUUCUACAGAUAUAGAUUCUGAGAUUUCAGGACUUUAUCUUGCUGUUCAAAACCACUUUGAUUUGAGUGAACUUUAAGGUAAACUGAACCCCAACAUUGGUAAUGCCAUUGGAUCUGAAGAUAUACAGUAUAUUAUUAUGGCCUCCUAUUGAAAUGCAUUCAUUGGAUAUGUACUGCUAAUUGACACCCACUCAUUUAUAUCAUCACCAAAGAUUGGAAACUGCUGUAAUAAUGAACAUUUAUGGCAUUGUGUAACAUUGCCAUAGUCCAUGUUUUGCCAGCACGUCAACAGAAUAACACUAUGAACUACGUUAUUAAUUUUAUUAGAUGAUUCAAUAUGGUAAAAAUACUUUAAGCAUCACUCAAGGAAUUAAGAAAAGAAGGAAAACUGCUAUAGGAUCUGGCAAGAUUUAAGAAGCCUCUUCUCCUGAAAGAGUAUUCGGUGCAUUUUAUGUAUUUUUAAUGAAAUGCGCAUGGUCAACUAAAGGUUUACUAAAGUGAAUAAAUAUCUACACGCAUACACUGUUAGCUCUGUUACUCCAGCUUCCCUCUAUCUGUGAUCCUAUGUGUAAGUUACUCACUGACAAAUGCUUCUACUUCUCCUCAAACAAAGGUUUGCUGAGACAGCACUUCUGAUUCAUGCAAAGUUAUUAUUUAAGUUGCAGAAAUUUAAAAGAAAGGAGACUUACACAUGCAAUUUAUUUAUAUACUCUGCACUUCAUACUCAGAACUUUGUCCAUGGGUUUAAUAAUCCUUGAGCUGUGAUGCUGUGCCCUCAUUGUGGCUACAGCCAGAAUAAUGGACGGCUCAUCCAUGUGUUCAACAUCAGAUGGCUGUGUUGCAAGCUCACAAGUACCUCUUUCUGUUGUUAUGCCUGCAGCCCCCUCCUUUGAGAGAAUUGCAAGAUCUCUGUUGGGUUGGAUUGAGGGGCCCAGGAAAUGAGAGAGAGAUGUGCGGAAUGUCUCGUUCCCCGGCAAUGUAAAGCUAUGGGACAUGGCCAUUGUCUCCGGAAGGCGAAUUUGUGGAUUGGAGAUACUAUGUUACAUGAAUGCCCUCAGGCAAAGUGGGCAGGUUGAGGGAGGGAUUGCAUCACCCCCAACCUGAUUGACAUCUGCGACCCUGCGAGUGAGGAUAAAAGAGGGUCUGUGGGAACAGCCCCUCAGACGCACCAGAAGAAACGCUAGCACUCCCGUGAUAACGGGAAGCCAUUUGAAGGAGGCCACGUGCGUUCAGUUCCAUUGCCUGGGACUGGUGGCUUGUAACAAGGAAAACGGCUUUUAGCUAACUACGGGGAAACCAACUUCCCGACUCAAAGGAUUGGCAUCAUAAAAGACCUGGGCAAGUUAAACCAUCUCUCUCUUAAACCCAAAACGCUGCAGCUUGAAUGAACUAACAGUGACUUUUAUAUUUCCAUCGGACAAUACAUUAUCCCCUAGACAACGAUAGAGCUAUUUCUUAUUGGUUAUUAUUAUACCCGCGCUUUUAGGUUUGGUAUUGACGACGUAUAUUAUCUGUAUAUUUGCAUUAAUCUUAUUUUUGUGCCCCUUUAUCAAUAAAUACUUUUAAAAAUAGUACCAUCAGAUUUCAACGGACCUCUCUAUGUUUGCUGGUAAGUG